rnacentral:rRNA from 1 species
AAAUUGAAGAGUUUGAUCAUGGCUCAGAUUGAACGCUGGCGGCAGGCCUAACACAUGCAAGUCGAACGGUAACAGGAAACAGCUUGCUGUUUCGCUGACGAGUGGCGGACGGGUGAGUAAUGUCUGGGAAACUGCCUGAUGGAGGGGGAUAACUACUGGAAACGGUAGCUAAUACCGCAUAACGUCGCAAGACCAAAGAGGGGGACUCUCGGGCCUCUUGCCAUCGGAUGUGCCCAGAUGGGAUUAGCUUGUUGGUGGGGUAACGGCUCACC